rnacentral:pre_miRNA from 1 species
AAAGAAAUAGCUGGGUCAAAUGGUGUUUUCAUUCCCAGAUUUCUAAGGAAUCUCCAUACUGCUUUCCAAAUUGGCUGCAUUAGUUUGCAGUCCCACCAGCAGU